rnacentral:rRNA from 1 species
AGAGAGAGACAUGCGCGCAUAUCAAUAAGCGGAGGAAAAGAAACUAACAAGGAUUCCCUUAGUAACGGCGAGUGAAGCGGGAAGAGCUCAAAUUUGAAAUCUUCAGGGUUUUACCUUGACGAAUUGUAGUUUAAAGAAGUGUUUUCUGCUGAAGUUUUGGUAAAAGUUCUUUGGAAUAGGACAUCAUAGAGGGUGAGAAUCCCGUAUUUGACCAUUAUUUUCCAGCUUUGUGAUACACUUUCAAAGAGUCGGAUUGUUUGGGAAUGCAGUCCAAAAUGGGUGGUAAAUUUCAUCUAAAGCUAAAUAUUGGCGAGAGACCGAUAGCGAACAAGUACCGUGAGGGAAAGAUGAAAAGAACUUUGAAAAGAGAGUUAAACAGUACGUGAAAUUGUCAAAAGGGAAGCGUUUGACACCAGUGUUGUUUUCUCGAAAAUCAAUUAAAAAUGGCUCGAUUUUGUAUUGCUGAGACCUUAAAAGCUCACUGUACAUUUUUCGUGUCUUUUUUAAUGCACUUUUCGUUUAACAAGUCAACAUCAGUUUCUUUUGUUGUAAAAGGGUCAUUGGAAGGUGGCUUUCUUUUCGGAGAAAGUGUUUAUAGCCUUUGGCCUCUGCAAUCGGAGAGACUGAGGUCUGCAGCGUAGACUCUUCGGGGUUAGAUACAUUUGUGCUAAGUUAUAGCUUUUUAUAGACAACUUGUUGACUAUAAUUAGUCUUGUAGCUUACUCGCUUAUGCUAUUUUACCUACGCUUAGGAUGUUGAAGUCAUCGUAUCGCGC